UAGGGAAUCUUCCGCAAUGGACGCAAGUCUGACGGAGCAACGCCGCGUGAGUGAAGAAGGAUUUCGGUUCGUAAAACUCUGUUGUUAGAGAAGAACAGCGCAUAGAGUAACUGUUAUGCGUGUGACGGUAUCUAACCAGAAAGCCACGGCUAACUACGUGCCAGCAGCCGCGGUAAUACGUAGGUGGCAAGCGUUGUCCGGAUUUAUUGGGCGUAAAGCGAGCGCAGGCGGUCAAUUAAGUCUGAUGUGAAAGCCCCCGGCUCAACCGGGGAGGGGCAUUGGAAACUGGUUGACUUGAGUGCAGAAGAGGAGAGUGGAAUUCCAGGUGUAGCGGUGAAAUGCGUAGAUAUAUGGAGGAACACCAGUGGCGAAGGCGACUCUCUGGUCUGUAGCUGACGCUGAGGCUCGAAAGCGUGGGUAGCAAACAGG
rnacentral:rRNA from 1 species